AGAGUUUGAUCCUGGCUCAGAACGAACGCUAGCGGCAGGCUUAACACAUGCAAGUCGUGGGGCAGCGCGCUGCAGCAAUGCGGUGGCGGCGACCGGCGGAAGGGUGCGUAACACGUGAGCAACCUGCCCGUGACAGGGGGAUAACCGAUGGAAACGUCGCCUAACACCCCGUAACACAGAGUUCCGCAUGGUUCUCUGUUGAAAACUCCGGUGGUCACGGAUGGGCUCGCGCAGCAUUAGCUAGUUGGCGGGGCGACGGCCCACCAAGGCGACGAUGCUUAGGGGUUCUGAGAGGAAGAUCCCCCACACUGGGACUGAGACACGGCCCAGACUCCUACGGGAGGCAGCAGUGAGGAAUAUUGGUCAAUGGGCGCCAGCCUGAACCAGCCAUGCCGCGUGACGGACUAAGGCCCUACGGGUCGUAAACUUCUUUUGCGCGGGAGCAAUAAGGGCCACGUGUGGCCCGACGAGAGUACCGCGCGAAUAAGCAUCGGCUAAUUCCGUGCCAGCAGCCGCGGUAAUACGGAAGAUGCGAGCGUUGUUCGGAUUUAUUGGGUUUAAAGGGUGCGUAGGCGGCUUGUCAAGUCGGCGGUGAAAUGCCCGUGCUCAACAUGGGAAGUGCCGUUGAUACUGGCUGGCUGGAGUUCCGUUGCCGUGGGAGGAAUGUGUGGUGUAGCGGUGAAAUGCUUAGAUAUCACACAGAACACCGAUUGCGAAGGCAUCUCACGAAGCGUGGGCUGACGCUGAGGCACGAAAGCGUGGGGAUCGAACAGGAUUAGAUACCCUGGUAGUCCACGCAGUAAACGAUGAUGGCUAACCGCCGGCGGCACACAGUCGGUGGCCAAGCGAAAGCGAUAAGCCAUCCACCUGGGGAGUACGACCGCAAGGUUGAAACUCAAAGGAAUUGACGGGGGCCCGCACAAGCGGAGGAACAUGUGGUUUAAUUCGAUGAUACGCGAGGAACCUUACCCGGGCUCGAACGGCGGCUGCCGGUCCCAGAGAUGGGCCUUCCCUUCGGGGCGUCCGCCGAGGUGCUGCAUGGUUGUCGUCAGCUCGUGCCGUGAGGUGUCGGCUCAAGUGCCAUAACGAGCGCAACCCUUGCCGCCAGUUGCCAUCGGUUCGGCCGGGGACUCUGGCGGGACUGCCACCGCAAGGUGAGAGGAGGGGGGGGAUGACGUCAAAUCAGCACGGCCCUUACGUCCGGGGCGACACACGUGUUACAAUGGCGGCUACAGAGGGGUGCCAUCCCGCGAGGGAGCGCUGAUCUCGAAAGGCCGUCUCAGUUCGGAUCGGAGUCUGCAACCCGACUCCGUGAAGCUGGAUUCGCUAGUAAUCGCGCAUCAGCCAUGGCGCGGUGAAUACGUUCCCGGGCCUUGUACACACCGCCCGUCAAGCCAUGAAAGCCGGGGGCGCCUGAAGUCCGUGACCGCGAGGAGCGGCCUAGGGCGAAACUGGUGAUUGGGGCUAAGUCGUAACAAGGUAACC
rnacentral:rRNA from 1 species